AUCCGCACCAUGUUUGGCCAUAUUAAGCAAAUAAUAGAACUGGUAAAGAUGCCAGUAACAAAUUCCAUAUUUUUUGUGUUGAUGAGUUUCCUGCAAAUCCCCAUUUUUGAGAGUCUCUUAGUCAGAACUGGCUGAACCCUGCUUGCAAAUGGAUUGCAGCUUGCAGAGUGUCAGUGAGUUAUUUGCCGUGACCAGCCUUUGGCUAUUUACUGUGAGCUCUGCAGCGUGAGUGAUUAAUCAUGUACGUUGGGUGCUUGUGUGUUGUUUUGCUUUUUCACUCCGUGUCCGGAUAACUGAAACAAGAGGAGUGAAAUGAGGAAAUUCGAGUUGCCACAUGAAGACUUCCAGUGUGACUGCUAGAGCCAACGCACAUUCAUGUGAGGGCUGGCGAGACUUUCACUUCUUCCACUACCUCUGUGACAUUUUGGCAAUUCUUGAGCCCAUUGCUGAGGUUUUAACUUGUCCCAUGUGACAAACCCCAAAUAUGCUGGGCCAUGCUCCUUCUCAGUUACUGCAGUGAUACAACAGGCAUCCAGAUGAUAUUCCUCCUUAAGGAAAAAUCAACAUUAUUUUGUGCAGGAACCUUAUGGCCUGGACAUGUGUCCUUUUUGCCCAGCCAGUGCUGCGCUGCGGUGGGAGAAGAGCAUCAGCAUCCAUGUGAACAAGGAGGCCGUCAGAGUUCAAGAAAAAAGACCUCUGAUCCUGGGCAGCAACUACAAAAGAGAAGACAGAAGGAGACAGCCAGUGCUUUGGCAAGCCGGGAACCCAUAUGCAAGGCAAAGAGAGUAAGAAAAGGAGCAGAGAUGCUGGCACAUGCAAGUUCAUCUAAUUGCCCUGGUACAUUCAGUUUAUACCCGGACCUUUGACCACUUUUGUAAACUAGGUUGGUUUGUUGCACACUGUCAUUGCACAGCUGUUAUUGCAUGGGGGUUGGUUUUAAGCUUUCUUCUUUCUAACAUUUGUAAUGCUCUGUCUUGACUUUUGAAUGAUCAGGAAGAUUUGGACUACUUGUCUGGGUUUUUUCCUUGAUAGGGAGGAAGAGUGGAGUCUAUUUUCAAAAUCUCAUAAGUUAUUUACACCCUUGGACAGGAUUUGGAUGGCAAAGCUGACGCUAAUAGCAGGUGCAGAUCUAUUUUGAGAGCUACAGCAAGAUCAGCACUGUCUCUCAGCAUCUCCAGCCAACAUCAGUUGAUUCUCUGCCCAAAGCAUCCCAUGACACUGCGAUUCAGAGUCCUAACUCUUCUGCAGCACAAAAUGGGGCCCCACUGCAGAGAACAUGAGCUUGGCACGCCACUUGGAAAUGAUUUCUCUCCCAUGUAUCCAGCCACCUGGCUCGGCUGUCGAUGAAACUUGGCAAUAAAUUCCUUGACAUCCCGUUAUAAUUUUAUGAGCUGGUUGAGACUGUCAUAUUCCAUUAGCUCCUGACAAGCCUCCAUGCAGGGAGGAGCACAAGCCUGUGUCUGUUGGUCACCUAUGUGAAAUGCUGGAGAUAAGCAGGUUUCCCCACUGCAGUGUCUAGCUGACUGCAGAUACAAUAAUCACUUCACUCAGCACCGCACAGGAACCACCCUUGGCAAGGCCAUGGCGGCUGUCAAGCAGCACAUCAGGAAUUGCUGCUUCAGUUCAACACAUCAUGAGGGCAUUUGUGCAGCAGGAGGAGCCAGUUAACUGAUCUGGAACUAGCAUCAAAGUGUUAACAAGCCCCAGCAGAGUUGCUGAAGUUACCUCCAAGUGACAUAUUCAAGCACUGGAAAGAUAAGAUCUCAUUUCUAAGCUGCAGUGAGUGGCAUUGUGUGCAUCUGCGAUGUGCAUACCCGUCAUCAGCUUACGCAUGCUCUCACAACACUUGGGAAAGUUGUGAGGCAGAUUUUGAUAUUUCUGCUUGUAUCAUCAACUCUCCAGGAGAAAGAGAGUCCUCUGAGAAGCUGGCAUGCUGGUAGUCUGCUCGUGUCCUGUGUCACUGAAAUAUUUUCUGUGGCUUUUGAUAGAAAAUUUAUUAAUGAGCAUGAAUUGCUGUGUGUUUUGAUGGAUUUUCUGGAUUCUUCUUUGCACUAAUAAUUGUGUGGUUGCCUGGAACAAGUAACUCAAAUGAUCCCCCCUUCGUAUGCUGGAGAGCCAGAUGAAGCCCUGAGUCAGGGGCUUUGGAGUGUACAGGAGAAAUGCCUUGCUUAGGUGAGAGAAAUGUUGGUUAAAUGCUACUGUGCAAAGACUCUUCUUUGGUUAUGGUCAGGUUGCUGACUCAAGCCAGACCUUGCAAUGAUGUAUGGGCUGAAUUCCGUUCUAAUACGGAAGUAAGUGGUCUUUUAGCAGGUGAGGAGAUGUUUCUACAUGUUUUGGACUUUGAUUUGGUUUUCUUUGCGUUUCAGAUCCUUGGUUCUUCAUGAGUUAGCCUGUAGGGGCUUAUUUAUGGGGAACACAGAUGCUUCCUAAGAUCCAUUUUUGGAUAGGGAAUAUCAUUUUCAGGGCCCAGAAGUGGCUCCCCAGUUAGUCAUCUUUGUGGGAUAGGGUGCUGAACAAGGUGACAGCGGAGUGAUUUCCAUGGCUGUUGCCAGGAUUUGAGGGUCCCAGCUAGGAAGCUGACCAGGUCAGAAGGCAGAUUCCUAUAAUGUAUAUUUAAAAAAACCCAAAAUGUGUGUGGAAGUGGUUGUCUACAUUUGUUUUUGCAGUGAAAUAUUAUGAAAAAACACUUUUGAAUUUUCUUCCCUGUUUAUUUGCUUGCUGCUGU